CCCCACACCCGCUCGAUCCCGACCCUGACCCCAAAUCCACCCAUGUCACCGACGUCUCUACCCGCUGUCGCCCUAGCCCCACACCGCCGCCACCCUAGCUGGCCACACCGUUGCCUUGCCUCAGCCUCUCGACCUUGGCUGCUGCUCCGCUCCUCCACUGGAGGCCCUGGCCUCUUCCCUGGCCGCUGCUUCGCCCCCCUCUGCUGAAGGCCCCUCCGCCGAACGCUCUCCUGCCGGAGGCCCCGGCCUCUUCCCCGGUCGCUGCUCCGCCCCCUCCCCUCCACCAACGCCCUCCCUACGUGGGGCCCCUACCCCAGCCCUCAACCCUCUCCUAGCCCGGCUCCGGCCGCUCGUAUUCUCCCGCUGCACCUGUGGCCGCAACGUCAUCUCCAGUCACACGCUGCACCCGCGCCCCUCUUCAGACCCCGGCCCUGAUUUCUGGUGUUGCAUCUCCGAGGAGUGAUUAUCGACGCCGGAGAGGUUAGUCCCCGAUCGUUCCUCCACUGUUCAACUACUUCCUCUACAGUUGAGGGUUUACACAAAGAGGGAGAAUGUCGUAGCUGGAAUUCUGGACCUGAAAAAGCUACAUCAGAGUUACCUAUUCUACAUAUCUCCAAAUGAGCUGAAAAUUUAUG